UACGUAGGGUGCGAGCGUUGUCCGGAAUUAUUGGGCGUAAAGAGCUCGUAGGCGGUUUGUCACGUCUGCUGUGAAAAACUCGGGGCUUAACUCCGGGCCUGCAGUGGGUACGGGCAGACUAGAGUGCGGUAGGGGAGACUGGAAUUCCUGGUGUAGCGGUGAAAUGCGCAGAUAUCAGGAGGAACACCGGUGGCGAAGGCGGGUCUCUGGGCCGUAACUGACGCUGAGGAGCGAAAGCGUGGGGAGCAAACAGG
rnacentral:rRNA from 1 species